UCAGUUGUGUCCGACUCUUCGCGACCCCAUGGACUGUAGCCUACCAGGAUCCUCCAUCCAUGGGAUUCUCCUAGCAAGAAUACUGGAGUGGGUUGCCAUUUCCUUCUCCCGAAAAGGUAUUGGAUUUCGUCAAGUACUUUUCCUGCAUCAGUUGAGUACAACUUUGGCUAACAGAGGACUGGUUUACUUGGAUCUCAUUUACUACAGGAUCCUGGAUGCCUGGCAGAAGACGAUCUGAGAGGACAAGUCUGGAGUUGUUGGUAGCCCCUGUACCUCCACGUGAAGUUUGAGAAGGAAUGAAGUUGGCAUGAAGCAGAGCAGAACCAAGACCACUAGGCCUUGGUCACAUGGUUGGACCUGGAGCAAGUUGGUCCCAAAAUUAGUUGCACCCAAGAUUUUUCAGAUAUGAAGCAAUAAAUUUCCUUUUUUGCUUAA